UACGGGGGGGGCAAGCGUUGUUCGGAAUUACUGGGCGUAAAGGGCUCGUAGGCGGCCAACUAAGUCAGACGUGAAAUCCCUCGGCUUAACCGGGGAACUGCGUCUGAUACUGGAUGGCUUGAGUGUAGGAGAGGGAUGCGGGAUUCCAGGUGUAGCGGUGAAAUGCGUAGAUAUCAGGAUGAACACCGGUGGCGAAGGCGCCUAUCUGGCCCGAUACUGACGCUGAGGCGCGAAAGCUAGGGGAGCAAACGGG
rnacentral:rRNA from 1 species